GACGGAGGAUGCAAGUGUUAUCCGGAAUCACUGGGCGUAAAGCGUCUGUAGGUGGUUUAAUAAGUCAACUGUUAAAUCUUGAGGCUCAACCUCAAAAUCGCAGUCGAAACUAUUAGGCUAGAGUAUAGUAGGGGUAAAGGGAAUUUCCAGUGGAGCGGUGAAAUGCGUAGAGAUUGGAAAGAACACCGAUGGCGAAAGCGCUCUGCUAGGCCGCAACUGACACUGAGGGACGAAAGCUAGGGGAGCGAAUGGG
rnacentral:rRNA from 1 species